GGAAACUGCCAUAUCUUCUCUCAGACCUGAAAUGUAUUCUGGAAUGCUGCUGCUGGAGUAAAGGUUGGGAAUGAGGAAAGAAGGAAGCAAAAAGUGAGAUCUGCAUGAGAUUUUGCAACUAUAACUUCACUAAAAGGAUCUAUCAACGAAGGUACCUCAGCAGAGAUAAAACAUAAGUUAUAUUCAGCAGAAGUCAGUUGAGUCUGUGGAAACUGUGCCUAUAUAGAUGUAUGGCUCCGUGCUAUUAACUUUCACUGUCUGUCAUCCUUUGGCAUACAAUAUAUUGGUGUUCAGAAAAAGAAGCAACACAAGCAUCUGUUGAUUACUCAGUCAUUGUUUCCCUCACUCCUGUUUAAAAUGCUCAUCAACAAGAAGUUCUUGAGGGUGUGAGGAUGAAGUCAUCAAUUGCAGAGACCAGAGAGGGGGGAUCAAAAACUAUCAAUUUGGAAAGUAUUUGGGCCUCUCAGCUCACAAAUAAAGCUGAAGUAGGUAGGGGAUGCACUUCAGCAACAGAUGAUUUCUCUGGUGUUUGCUCAGUCUUUUCUCUGGCUCUGCUUCUCAAUGAAAGCAAAGUGCUCUAUCAAAGUGAGUUAAGUACUACAAGAAGGACUCUUCCUGGGAAGUUGGUUUUGGAUGAUCUUUCCUUCAAUAAGGUGCAUUUGAGAAGAGCAGUGCCAAGAAAAGAAUGUGCAAGAACAUGAAGAGGAAGAAAAUCAAGAAAAAUUAACAGCUUGACCAACCACAACGGAUGAAGCACUAAAUAACAUCAAGGUUUUGAGAGGCAAGUUAAGCAACGCUGCUGACCCGUAUUGUUUGCUAUGAAUGCUAGUCAAAACCUGGUUAACUGCACUCCACUGAUGCCUGGAAUUAGCAAGUCAACAGGGCUGAUGCAACCAUUUUCUUUCACCUUAAAGAGCAUGCCAGUUGCACUCCUAACUGGAAAAUGAGCAGACAAAAUUAACAGCGGAGUUGCUAGGGCUCCCAGCAGUCUUGGGAUGGGGAGAUGAGUGAGGCUGCUGCAUUCAGCAAGAUCUGUAUUCUGCUAUAUUGCAAAGCUGGUAAAACUCACCCACACUGUUCUUUGACUUAAAGUGGUUACUGCUUCUGAAUCUGUUCCAGUUGCUGAAGCUGAUGAAAAGACUUCUGGCUCAAAUCCUGAGCUUGCAAGUCCAUGUCAUUAAGGGUUCAUAGGAUCUGUUUGUGCUUCAUGUAGCCACAUUUUCAACUUGAAAAAUUUACUUGGGUAAUUAAUUAUGUUUGAUUGCAUCAAAGUUGGUUAUGUAAGAGAAAUCCCAAAGGGUAUAUUCCAAAUCUAUGUUUGGUGUAAAUGAUUAAUGAUUCACAUUAUGGAACACACCAGCAAGUUUCAUCCUGUAUCUAAUUGCUGAAAAAGUUGAAUUUGUUGCUUUCAUUUUAAUAUACAGCACUGCACAAAGGAAUACUUCAUUCAUGAACCUUUACAAGGAGGUUUUGAAAAAAUCCUUGCUUAAUUACAUGCCACUAAGAGAAUAAUAGUUGAAAUUUAUUGCAAAAGAUAGACUAAGUUUAUUACAGAGCCCCAAAAAUUGGCCCUUCAGGGCAUUUUUAUAGCCAUGACAAUUUGUUUCAGUAUUCGUAGCUGGUUACUUGCAGUAACAGCAACUCACACUGUGAAAUUCCAUCUUAUCUAUGACUUUCCUUUCUAAAUUCCAAGCCAUCAAUGGCCAAUUGUCCUUUGAGCAAAGUCAUAAUCCAGCUGUCCUUUUAUAUAAUAUCUGUAGCUCUCCUGUGGAAGAUGAACAUUGUAGAAGAUCAUGCGGUUCUAUUAAUUUCAAGUCAUAUUUUUCUCUGUAAUCAAUUUGAAUGGGAUUGUUUUUCUCUAAAACAGCAAUCAUCUCAGGGUACGUUUAUGUCUUUUGAAGUAAGAAUUUUAAAAAUUCUUUGAAUUUCGAAACUUGCUAUGGUAUCUCUCUGAAAAAAGGCUGCUUGGAACAAUUCUAACAUUUUUGCAGAACAUAAACUAUGGAACUUCUUUCUGAUUCAUUUGUUUGAUUCCAGUUUUGGAUUCCAAAUUUUAGAAAAUAUCUCACAGAAAAAAAACAAGCUGUGCAUUUCUCAAAUUAUACAUAAGAAUGUUUAAUAAUGACAAUAGACAGAUCUGCUUGUACAUAUACAUUAAUCCCCUUUAUGAAAUGCCAGAUCUCUUAUUCUGAAAUCUACCUUCCCAGUCUCCUUGCUCCUGUGGAUGACUAUCUGAAUACUCUAUAGAGGAAAAUUGCAUUAAUCUACUUCUGGGAUCUUCCAACUUAAAAAUAUUUUGGAAGAUAAUUGGAACAUGAUGGCAUUUUAAAUUUUUCACAUCAUUUCCUACAUUUCAUGAAAAUUGAGGAACUGAAAAAGUGCUGGAUCAGAUCAACUGUCUAUCUAACCCAGCUGCCUGUGUUCAGUAGUAACAAGAAGAGAUGUUAUACAGGAAGAUCAUUCAAGCCUAGCAGUGUUUUCUGGCUUAUUGCCCCUUGCAACACUACCCAGGGCAAUUUCUAUCCAUGCAGGGAUGGCUGCUAUUACUGCUUUUCCUGCUGAUGGUGAUCAGCCACUUUCUGAAAGCUGCUGGCUUCUAAUGGGUCUCCUUGCUCCCCUGGGCCCUCCAAGUUCAGGAACUCUCCAGGAACCACCAUACUUGCACCCUGCAGAACACUUUGCCCAAGAAUGAUUGCCUUGGCAAGUGACUGAUUUUUGAAUCUGCUGAACCUGCCUACCCAGCCUUUCCAAGCUGAAAGACCAUUUCUUUUACUCACUGACUCUCAACUGAGAGCAUUUGCAGCUCAGCCAAUGAAAAAUCACCAGUGCAAAUUAACCAGUAUGUCCCUGUCCCAUUUUGCCAGCAGAUCCUUACUGGUCUUUUCUGUUACUGUGAUGCACACUUGUCACCAUGGUGAUGUUUGUAAGCAUUCCAUUCCACUCCUUGGCCACAGGUGCCAUUGGACUUCAUCCUGUUGCUGGCAGGACAAACCCCUUUAGUUAGGGAAGGAGCCAUGGACAAACAUUUCUGUCAAGUUUAAAAAUUAAUAAUUAAAGUGGAGAUAUCUUCAUGAGAAAUAUCAAAUGUCUCUGAUCUGAACACUGACUCAGCAGUCUUGGCUUCUCCUUUGCCCAGGUGCAUGGUAAAAGAGGGAUGCUUGGGAUGCUGUCAUAGGAACUAUAAAAGAAGAAAACACUUCUCAAGUGUUUUCAUGAGAAACCCUGCACAAAAAGAGUAUGUCUUAAUCUUUCUGAGAAGAGCUCUGGCAAAGCCAAGGAUUCGUCAUCCUGAUUUCUAAAAAAAAAUUCUGGGAAAUUGUUGGAAAUGAUAGCUUUCAAUUCAUUUGCUACAGUGAUGAUGGAAACUCUGUAAUGAUUCAAGAAACAUUCUUCAAGAAUGAAGUGCUGGCUAGGAGAGGACCUCUGCCAAUGUUUGACAUUGAUAGCAUGAAAACUUCCAUCUUCAUCCUCGUGGAUCUUCAAAAUGCGGGGGGAUUUGCCAAAAUCUGCCUCACAUAAUAAAUUCCUAAUAGAUAAAGAAGCAUUUUCUACUUCUAAGCAAGUUAUGUGGUUUCCCUACUUGUGAAAGAUGAAAUACUUCUUGAGACCAGUGAGAUUACUGUUCAGUUAUUUCUAAACGGAGGUGGCUGAAAGUUGGUGCUACCUGGAUUUCUAAACCAGCUACUAUGCUUUUGAAAAUCUUACACUUCUCUGCUCCUCUCAAAAGGCAAAAAUGCAAGCAAGGGUGGUUACUACUAGGACUGCUCUGAAAGUAAUACCUCCUACUUUAUUAUGUUGGCCCACAAAGUUGGAAAUAGAUAUUGGUAGUAUGAUAGUAGAGGUUGAACCUUCUUGCUGACGUAUGUUACAUUUGGUUGCCGUGUGACAGAUGGCAACAGAGGGGCUGUCUGACAGAAUGGUGCCUGACAUGGAAGUGUCUAUGAAACGAAGCUGUGACAUUGAAUUCUUCCGUGUAGAAGAAAAUUCAUCCUUUGACAUUCAUCAGCACUUUCUGGAUGUUUGUGGAGACCAAGCAGUAGGUGUGAGCACAGUGAGGGGGUGGGUGGUACAUUUCAGCAGUGGCCACAGCGACAGUGGGUCACCUCUGCUGCUGCAGCAUUUAAUUCAUUACUGAAGGCCGUGGCACGGUGUUGGCUAAGGAUUCCUCUCAUGCCAUGGGCCUUGUUCCCCUCAGGCUAAAUGUUAUACAGGCCCAAAGCAAUAGUAAACAGAGAAUUCUGCAGCCAGUCACAACACUUAAAUAGGUUAUUUGGGGAGCCAGUGGCACUCUGCUCAGCUCCCUCUCAGAGCUCCAUUAAGGAGGAUGGGGAAGGGAGAUACAGUUGCUUCAGUGAUGUAGUGAUGUUGUUGCUGGCACCAUAGCAAGAACUGCUAGCCUCACAAUUAGCACACUUGUGAAACAGAGACGUCAGUAUGAAGUGCAUGGCCCCAUCAUGUCCUUUGUAAACACUUACCCUGGUUUGAGAUUAGAAUGAAAUAAAUCUGCUUGAAACAGCAUUGUCCAUGCUGGUUAACAAACAUAUGUGUUGUAUCUGUGAUGAUAAAUUUGCAGUCCUCUGCUUUUGCACUGACUCUGUGCUGCUGAAUUAGGCUUAAAAGAAGAUCCAGCUCCCUUCUGAUGAUGUGGAUGUUGUAAAUGUGCUUGAGGUCUAUAAAGAUGUUUUAUGAACCAACAGAACUGUUCAGCAGCGACAGUCCUGAGCUCGUGUCAAGCCUCAGUGCCAAAGCAAGCUAUGAAGCUAUCCCAAAAAAACUCACUUAUCAUGGGCAACAUUUACAUUUUCAUUUUUGUAAGCAGAGAUUUUUUUUUUGCUUCUUUUUUCUUUUUUUUUUAUACAAAGAUAAACUGACAUCUUAGAUUUCUUGCUUGAUUUCAGGUGCUUGUUUUCAAAUUACUUUCAUUCUUCUUAAAAAAAAAAAAAGAGAGAGAAAUAAUAACGAUAAUAAUAACAAACAAUAAGCCACUUAGCAAUCAUACUUCUUGUGUGUUUUGAAAGUGAAGGCAGAAAAAUGUACAUGAUCAGCCA
rnacentral:lncRNA from 1 species